UGAAGGGUCGCCAUGGCGUCAGGUCGCUCUCCCUUCCCCCGCCCUCCUGCACCUCGUCUUGACAUCACCACCUGCUGGCUCCCCCCAGUGAGCUCUCUGUCAAUCUAAGAUGGUGGUCCACCACCACCACCGCUCACAGAGGCUGAAGAGAUGGCCCUCAGUCAGAACAAUGGGUGAGCUACUGCUGAGGGCAUCUCUCGGGGGAGCUCAUCAGAGCCCACCAUGCCCCAGGACACAAGGGCCUACAUAAGCGGAGGAUGAUGAAGACACCCUAUCUGCAACUACAGAGAGGGAAGAUGCAGGCCUGUUGAGAGCAAUGCUGGAAAUUACAAUGAGGAUGAGGGUCCAUCAACCUCCACAGCACAACUUACCUCAGUAUUGACCAACAACUUACUAU